CACCCGCGCAUGCUCAAAUGUGUACGCAUCUCGUCUCACACACAACCACAUUGUGUACGCAUGUUUGUGUGUAUGACGAGAUGUGUACACAUUUGAGCAUGCGCGGG
rnacentral:pre_miRNA from 1 species